rnacentral:rRNA from 1 species
AGAGUUUGAUCCUGGCUCAGAAUGAACGCUGGCGGCGUGCUUUACACAUGCAAGUCGAGCGAGGCGGGGAGCAAUCCCCAGUCGAGCGGCGAACGGGUGAGUAACGCGUGGAUGACCUGCCCUUCAGCGGGGAAUAACCCGGGGAAACUCGGACUAAUACCGCAUACGACCGAGAGGUGAAAGGGGGCUCGCAAGGGCUCUCACUGAAGGAGGGGUCCGCGUUCGAUUAGCUAGUUGGUAGGGUAAUGGCCUACCAAGGCGACGAUCGAUAGCCGGCCUGAGAGGGUGAUCGGCCACACUGGAACUGAGACACGGUCCAGACUCCUACGGGAGGCAGCAGUGGGGAAUUUUGCGCAAUGGGCUAGCGCCUGACGCAGCAACGCCGCGUGGAGGAUGAAGGUCCUUGGAUUGUAAACUCCUGUCAGCAGGGAAAAAGCGAAUCGGCCUAAUACGUCGGUGAGUUGAUUGUACCUGCAGAGGAAGCCCCGGCUAACUCUGUGCCAGCAGCCGCGGUAAUACAGAGGGGGCAAGCGUUAUUCGGAAUUAUUGGGCGUAAAGGGCGCGUAGGCGGCCAUUCAAGUGACGGGUGAAAGCCCUCGGCUUAACCGAGGAACUGCCUGUCAGACUGGGUGGCUUGAGACCGGGAGAGGUGAGUGGAAUUCCCAGUGUAGCGGUGAAAUGCGUAGAUAUUGGGAGGAACACCAGUGGCGAAGGCGGCUCACUGGACCGGAACUGACGCUGAGGCGCGAAAGCGUGGGGAGCAAACAGGAUUAGAUACCCUGGUAGUCCACGCCGUAAACGAUGAGUGCUUGGUGUAGCGGGUAUCGACCCCUGCUGUGCCGAAGUCAACACAUUAAGCACUCCGCCUGGGGAGUACGGUCGCAAGACUGAAACUCAAAGGAAUUGACGG